rnacentral:rRNA from 1 species
AGCGAACGCUGGCGGCAGGCCUAACACAUGCAAGUCGAACGGACCCUUCGGGGUUAGUGGCGGACGGGUGAGUAACACGUGGGAACGUGCCUUUAGGUUCGGAAUAGCUCCUGGAAACGGGUGGUAAUGCCGAAUGUGCCCUUCGGGGGAAAGAUUUAUCGCCUUUAGAGCGGCCCGCGUCUGAUUAGCUAGUUGGUGAGGUAAUGGCUCACCAAGGCGACGAUCAGUAGCUGGCCUGAGAGGAUGACCAGCCACACUGGGACUGAGACACGGCCCAGACUCCUACGGGAGGCAGCAGUGGGGAAUCUUGCGCAAUGGGCGAAAGCCUGACGCAGCCAUGCCGCGUGAAUGAUGAAGGUCUUAGGAUUGUAAAAUUCUUUCACCGGGGACGAUAAUGACUGUAGCCGGAGAAGAAGCCCCGGCUAACUUCGUGCCAGCCGCCGCAGUAACAC